CUCAAGAGAAGAGGCAGGACUCUGGUCUGUAGAAGUUUCCAUAGAGCACCAUCCUUGACAUUAAACAGCCACAGAGAUGAAGAACCAAAAGGAAAACUACUCAGAACCGAGUCUGGUUAAGGACAGCAGGAGACAGCAAAUGAGAGCUCGAGAGAAGCUCAUUAUUGUGAUCCUGGGAAUCAUCUGUUUUGUCUUGAUGUAUACUAUAGUGAGAGUGACAACUUUUAUUC